rnacentral:rRNA from 1 species
CGACCGGCGCACGGGUGAGUAACGCGUAUGCAACCUGCCCGAUACCGGGGUAUAGCCCAUGGAAACGUGGAUUAACACCCCAUAGUACUUUUAUCCUGCAUGGGAUGUGAGUUAAAUGUUCAAGGUAUCGGAUGGGCAUGCGUCCUAUUAGUUAGUUGGCGGGGUAACAGCCCACCAAGACGAUGAUAGGUAGGGGUUCUGAGAGGAAGGUCCCCCACAUUGGAGCUGAGACACGGUCCAA